rnacentral:tRNA from 1 species
AGCAGCGUGGCGUAGUGGUUGGAGUGUUGGACUAGGACUCUGGAGAGCAGGGUUCAAUUCCCAGCUCUGCCA